UUGAGAAAGUUGUUACGGUGUUUGCUAUAUAUAUGGAUUAUCCUUCGACUAUUUUUCCUUCUUUCUAUCUUCUUCUUCUUCCAAGAAAUUUGUAUCUGCACUUGAAUUUAUCCCCCGGCCCCUCUUUUCUCAGUUUUUCUCUCUAGCUCAUCACAAGGACUGAAUUAUUGUUUUAUGGAUAAGAAAGAACCUGGCAAGGAUACUGCUGAGGAUGCGACUCGCGAGUCACUCAUUGCAAUCUCCAACCGAGUACCAGACAAGGAUCUUACUGCUGAAACGUCACCCAAAAAUAGAGAUGGUGAGAAAGUUAUUGAACCUCUGGAUAGUGAUGGAGACGAGAAAUAUAGGUCUAAGCUGAUCUCUAUAUCCGAUUCAUCAUCUCCAGAUGUCAAAGUGCAACCAGUUUUGCCUGGGAAACCGGACAGUUAGGUUGGACAGCAAGUUCUAUAUGAUGACUACAAUAUAAUCUGUGUGACAAAUGAUGUAACUUUCCAUAGAUAUCAAAGGCUUUGUUUGCAAGUCUUGCGUGUACUCUGUUCUCUGUUUAUCCUGCUGAUACAUUUGAGCAACUUAUCUUUUUGAAUACUUGUAUAAACUUUAUAAGAAUUUCAAUCAUCAUUGCCCAAAAAGAGUUACUUAUGUUUAGAGGAUUGGUUUCUCCUUCACUUUUCUUGUACUUGUACUGAUAAGAUCAGAAACUGGUGCAAUUUAAUAAGAAGAUGAAAUCUUGAGUUUU